AACCAGCACCUCGAGUGGUCAGGAGGUUUAUUGGGCCUAAAGCAUCCGUAGCCGGUUGUUUAAGUUUUCGGUUAAAUCUAUGCGCUUAACGUAUAGGCUGCCGAAAAUACUGGACAGCUAGGGAGUGGGAGAGGUACACGGUACUCGAUAGGAAGGGGUAAAAUCCUUUGAUCUAUUGAUGACCACCUGUGGCGAAGGCGGUGUACCAGAACACGUUCGACGGUGAGGGAUGAAAGCUGGGGGAGCAAACCGG
rnacentral:rRNA from 1 species